GUGUCAGCCGCCGCGGUAAUACGUAGGGGGCAAGCGUUGUCCGGAAUUAUUGGGCGUAAAGCGCGCGCAGGCGGUCUUUUAAGUCUGGUGUAUAAUCCCGUGGCUCAACCACGGGCCGCAUUGGAAACUGGGAGACUUGAGUGUAGGAGAGGAAAGUGGAAUUCCACGUGUAGCGGUGAAAUGCGUAGAGAUGUGGAGGAACACCAGUGGCGAAGGCGACUUUCUGGCCUAUAACUGACGCUGAGGCGCGAAAGCGUGGGGAGCAAACAGGAUUAGAUACCCUUGUAGUCC
rnacentral:rRNA from 1 species